CCUACGGGUAGCAGCAGUGGGGAAUUUUGGACAAUGGGGGAAACCCUGAUCCAGCAAUGCCGCGUGUGUGAAGAAGGCCUUCGGGUUGUAAAGCACUUUUGUCCGGAAAGCGGUACCGGAAGAAUAAGCACCGGCUAACUACGUGCCAGCAGCCGCGGUAAUACGUAGGGUGCAAGCGUUAAUCGGAAUUACUGGGCGUAAAGCGUGCGCAGGCGGUUCGCUAAGACCGAUGUGAAAUCCCCGGGCUUAACCUGGGAACUGCAUUGGUGACUGGCGGGCUAGAGUAUGGCAGAGGGGGGUAGAAUUCCACGUGUAGCAGUGAAAUGCGUAGAGAUGUGGAGGAAUACCGAUGGCGAAGGCAGCCCCCUGGCCAUAUUGACGCUCAUGCACGAAAGCGUGGGGAGCAAACAGGAUUAGAUACCCUAGUAGUC
rnacentral:rRNA from 1 species